AUUGAACGCUGGCGGCAGGCCUAACACAUGCAAGUCGAGCGGUAGAGAGGUGCUUGCAUCUCUUGAGAGCGGCGGACGGGUGAGUAAUGCCUAGGAAUCUGCCUAGUGGUGGGGGAUAACGUUCGGAAACGGACGCUAAUACCGCAUACGUCCUACGGGAGAAAGCGGGGGAUCUUCGGACCUCGCGCCAUUAGAUGAGCCUAGGUCGGAUUAGCUAGUUGGUGAGGUAAUGGCUCACUAAGGCGACGAUCCGUAACUGGUCUGAGAGGAUGAUCAGUCACACUGGAACUGAGACACGGUCCAGACUCCUACGGGAGGCAGCAGUGGGGAAUAUUGGACAAUGGGCGAAAGCCUGAUCCAGCCAUGCCGCGUGUGUGAAGAAGGUCUUCGGAUUGUAAAGCACUUUAAGUUGGGAGGAAGGGUAGUAACC
rnacentral:rRNA from 1 species